rnacentral:miRNA from 1 species
GGGCCUGGGAUUCUGCAUUUCUAACAAGUUCC